UUAAAUCUUUGGAUGAAUCUCCAAUUUCACAACUUUGCUAAAUCUUUUGUUCAUAAUCAGAAAUCCCUAACCCUAACGGCUAAAUCAGCCCCAAAUUCUCUACCUUCUCUCGCAAUUUCACUCAAAUUCAAGCCACAAUGAGCAAUGAAUCUGAAUCCGAAGUUUGUGAUAAUCCAAUUCCACCUCCAAACAUUGGUAAGAGGCAGUGUGAGGAUGAAGAUGAGAAGGAAGUGAUUACAAAGAAGCAGAAGAUAGAGGAGGUUGUUGAAAUGAAAGAGAUUAAGGAAGAAACUGAUUCAGAUUAUUUGAAAAUUGGUGAGGAUGAAGAUCGGAAGGAAGUGAUUACGAUGAAAGAGAUUAAGGAGGAAAUUAUUUCAGAUGAUUCUGAACAUGAUAAGAAACUUGAAGCUAAAAACGAUUCUGCUACUGGUUGUGGUCCUUCAGAAUCAUUGGAUGAUGUUAUCUCAGAUUCUGAUUCUCACAGAAGCUCUGGUGAGGAUAAUCCCGAUGAUUCGGAGAGUCCAGAGUAUAUUGGGGAAGAAGUAGAGGAAAAAGUCUCCGAAGCGCAUCAGGAAAGGCACGAAACCCCAGUCACUAUAAACGAAAAAGAUGCUCCAUCGAAGACAAUAUGUGUUAGAAACUUGUCAUAUAGUGUGGAACGGACUGAUAUGGAAGACAUUUUCAAAGAUUGUGGUGAAGUUGUUGAUGUUCGUUUCAACACAGAUCGCGAAGGGAGGUUUAGAGGCUUUGGAUAUGUUGAGUUUGGAACAGCAGAAGCAGCAAAAAAAGCCCUUAAAUUGGAUAGUACAGAAUUAUUGAACCGUCGCAUGAGAGUUGAUAUAGCUAUAGAAAAGAGCGGCUAUCCCCCCUGUAGAAGCAACUUGAGCAGCUCAGUCCAUACGGGUGGAAAUCUUCAGUCUCACCCUCACACUGUAAAGGGUGUUGUUGAUGCAUCUAUUGUAGAAAACAAGCCUAAAAGCCCAGCUACACCAAAUGAAACAAAUGUUGCAUCAAAGACCAUAUAUGUCAGAAAUUUGUCAUACACUGUGGAACGAUCUGAUAUGGAAAAUAUUUUCAAAGAUUGUGGAGAAAUUGUUGAUAUUCGUCUCCAUACAGAUCGCGAAGGGAAAUUUAAAGGCCAUGCACAUGUUCAGUUUGCAACAGCAGAUGCAGCACAAAAGGCUCUUGUGUUCAAUAAGAAAGUAUUUUACAAUCGUCUUAUGUUCGUUGGUAUCGCUUUUGAAAGGGGUAUAUAUUCCCCAAAUAGAAGCAAUUCGACCUGGAGCAGCUCAUUCCAUAAGGAUGAAAGAUUUCAGUCUCAAACUAUACCUGUGAAGUGUUUUGAUACAUCCCUUGCCGAAGACAAGUUGGCUUGUGCAAAGGAUGUUAAGGAUAUACAGAUGUCUGAUGCUGAUGCUGAUGCUGCCUCUGCUGAGAAUAAACUUCCUGAAACCCCAGCUACCCAAAAAGAGAAAAAUGAUGCAUCAAAAACAGUAUGCGUUAGAAAUUUGUCAUUCGAUGUGCAACGGGCUGAAAUUGAAAGUAUUUUCAAAGAUUGUGGAGAAGUUGUUGAUGUCCGUGUGCAUGUGGAUGUUGAGUUUGCAACCACAGAAGCAGCAGAAAAGGCUCUUCAGUUGGAUCACACAAAAUUUGCGAACCGUCCCAUCAAAGUUGGUAUAGCUCCAGGAGAGGGUGAAUGUUUCCCCAAUAGAAGGAAUCGAGUAGGUUAAGCCGCAUGUGUGUUCGUGUUUAUUUCCUAGUGGUUUAUGUUGAUGACAUUGUGGUUACAAUUGACGAUUAUGAGGGUAUCAAGGCAUUGAAACAAAACUUGUUUAAGACGUUCAAACUGAGGACAUGGAUCCUCUACGUUGGGGUUGAGACAGCUCAAUCGAAGUCGGGUCUUGUUAUUUCUUAGAGGAAGUAUACUCUUAUUAUUCAAGAGGACACGUGUCAUAUAGAUUGUAAACCACUUGGCACUCUCAUGAAUCUUAAUGUAAAGCUCAUUCUUAAUCAAAGAAGCCUAGAUACUGAUGAUUAAUGGGAAAAUUAAAUUGUUCAAAUUCUGAAGUAUAUAAGAGGUCACCUUGGAAAGGGGCUUGUUUUCAUUGAUAGGGGGCAACACUCGUUGGGUAUACAAAUGUCAAUUGGGCAGAAGAUGCAAGUGAUAGGGGGUAUACUUCUUGUUACUGCAUAAUCAUGGGCGGAGGUCUGAUUUCAUGGAAGAGCAAAAAGCAAACUGAUAUUUCCUGGUCGAGUUCAAAAGUCGAGUGAUGAGUACCCAAAUGAAUGGUUUGUCAUUCAAUGUGCUUAUCAUUGGCAACUUUAAAUAAGUAAUUUGAAAAUGAUGAAGUUGAUGGAACUGAAAUGAUAAUGAAAUUUAAAGAGGUAGAAUUAUAAGUACAAGAUUGAUAGAAUCGUAACAAGAAAUAACAAAAAAUGGAGAAGAUAGGAUUGUGAAUGGCGCAACACUCAAGUUUCCAGGGAGAAGAUGAAUGGUAGAUCCUGGGGAACGAUCACCUCAAGAAAACCUGGUUUCUUGAUAAGAUCAAAAUGGAUGGUCCGAUCCAGAACCAAAGAGUCAAAACUCUUACACUUACACAAGCUUGAGCAUCUCAUUCCAGAAGGGUGAAAGCUUUCAGCCUCUAACUGUAUUUGUGAUUGGAUUUGAUACAUCUGUUGCAGAAGAAAAG